rnacentral:rRNA from 1 species
CCUACGGGUAGCAGCAGUGGGGAAUAUUGCACAAUGGGGGGAACCCUGAUGCAGCGACGCCGCGUGAGUGAAGAAGUAUUUCGGUAUGUAAAGCUCUAUCAGCAGGGAAGAAAAUGACGGUACCUGACUAAGAAGCCCCGGCUAACUACGUGCCAGCAGCCGCGGUAAUACGUAGGGGGCAAGCGUUAUCCGGAUUUACUGGGUGUAAAGGGAGCGCAGACGGCUGUGCAAGUCUGGAGUGAAAGGCGGGGGCCCAACCCCCGGACUGCUCUGGAAACUGUAAAGCUGGAGUGCAGGAGAGGUAAGCGGAAUUCCUAGUGUAGCGGUGAAAUGCGGAGAUAUUAGGAGGAACACCAGUGGCGAAGGCGGCUUACUGGACUGCAACUGACGUUGAGGCUCGAAAGCGUGGGGAGCAAACAGGAUUAGAUACCCUAGUAGUC